rnacentral:rRNA from 1 species
UACAGAGGUCUCAAGCGUUGUUCGGAUUCAUUGGGCGUAAAGGGUGCGUAGGCGGCGCGGUAAGUCGGGUGUGAAAUCUUGGAGCUUAACUCCGAAACUGCAUUCGAUACUGCCGUGCUUGAGGACUGGAGAGGAGACUGGAAUUUACGGUGUAGCGGUGAAAUGCGUAGAUAUCGUAAGGAAGACCAGUGGCGAAGGCGGGUCUCUGGACAGUUCCUGACGCUGAGGCACGAAGGCCAGGGGGAGCAAAACGGGGAU